ensembl:lncRNA uncharacterized LOC114854645
ACAGCGAUCCAGCUUCUCCCUCUCCUGCCCAGCUGGGUUAAAGCAGCCAGUGGGUGGGACACAGCUUUCAUUGGUUUUCAUUCGCCGUCGCCACCUGGAACCAAACCCACUAAUCAGUGCAGUUUGACCAGCAAACCUUCAGGUGAGUCCACAGCUUGAACUCUACAAACCAUGCUAGAACCGCUUUGGUGGAUUGGUAGUAGUCAAAUUUGUUGAUAUGGAGGCAGUUAAUUCUAUGUUGCAACACUCGUAUGGUCUGGGCCCACCACAUGGAGCUCAGCGGGCCCAGGGGCCCAGCCCGUCCGGUCCAGGACCAGCUCCAGGAGUGUGUCCUGAGGAGCAUCACCAGCAUAACCAGCAUAACCAGCAGCACCAGCAGCACCAACAGCACCAGCAUAACCAGCAUAACCAACAGCACCAGCAUAACCAGCAUAACCAACAGCACCACAAACCGUUCUUCUUCAUACAGCCAUCGCAGCCAUACCUGCCCAUGCAGAGCCUGCAGUGGCCUGUGCCCAUGCCCAUGCCUGUGGCCUACAACCCCUUCUAUGGCUUCCCUGGUCUCGGCUACGGCAUGCCGGUGAUGCCACACUAUCAGGCGAACCCCUGCCUGGAGCCACCCGGCUUUGUUCUACCCCACUCCCAUCUCCAUCUGACAGACUACAGGCGCAUGCUCAACCCCCAGUACUACCAGACCAUGGCCUACCACUCCCGCAGGUUCCGCUACCAGCAGAACGCUCCCGCUAGAGAAAUGACCAGCUCUGAGGUCCAAACGGAGCCGCUGUCGGCCCCCCAGAGGACCAGCACCCCAACUUCCAGUGCUGCUGAAGCCUCUAGUGUUCUCCCAGUGUGUAGCAGUGAUGCGCACCCCGCCAGCCAGGCGCUUUCACCAGUCUUGGCUAUGCAGGAGGAGGACCGUUCUCUGGAGGUGACGUCUUCCACGCCGCCACAAAAUGGCGGCUUUGUGAUUCAGACUGAGGAGGUGAGGAUUGAAUGCUGCGCUACACCAGUAGGACUGCAGCUCCUGCACGCUCACAAGACAGCAGAAAUGUCCCACGCUUAUUCCCAAGAUGUUGUCCAGUGCAGCUCCAUCCUCCAGGGUCAUGUGCUGCAGGAUGACGGACUGGGCCUUUCUGCAGACCAGUCGGAGCAAGCGCUUCAAGCCUGUCCUGACAUCCUCCUCGGUGGGACGUCCAGUCCUGGAGACAAGGUCCCUGCUCUGGAGGAGACGCAGCCAAACCUGAAGGGCGACUUUGAGAAUGAUCCAAGAACAGUUUCCAAAAAUUCUGACUUUAAAGUUGUUCAUCUUCCCUUUGACCCAAACUACUUGGACGAGCUGCGGAGGAUGGAGUCCACUGUUUGGUCAGUGGAAGAAACUCUGGUUCCUGCCCCUGAAUCUCUGGUCCAGAGCAGCUGCACAGACUCUCCUGAUGAAAUGGCUGUCGUGCCCUCAGCAGAUAUGCUAAUAAUAGAAGAUCUUCCUACAGACGACGUUGUCCCUAGAGUUGACCUGGAGGACAUGGUCCCCACUGGGGAUGAGAUGGUGUUUGAAGCUUUGUGUUCUGUAGUGGAUGUUGCAGAGGAAGCUCCUGUUACGAAGACCUCACACACAGCAGAGGUGGAUCUUGGCCACAGUUUGCUCAUGUUAGAAAACCCUCCCCUUAAUACAGAGGUAUACAGAAACCAACUUAAAGAAGCCUUCAAUGUUCAGGACCACCAGGAUACUUCCUUUGAGUCCUUACCAGCGUACCUUCCCUCGACGAGCUGGCUGGCGGACUUUGACAAUGUGCAUUACUGCAGCAAGAAGAUGCCACCAACUCCCAAGAAGCAGAACAGACCUCUGUCCAACCGUGGCUCGGACGUGUCUAAUCGUGGAUUGGACGUCCCGAGCCGAAGAAGAAAGCUCGACCUCGAGUACAAGAACCAGUCUAAACCUAGAGAGAGGUACAAGCCCAAAGGCAAGGGCAGCCAGCGCAGCCUCUCUGACCAUGAAUGCUGCCUGAGCAGAGGUUUCAACGAGAACGCCUUCUCCACAUACGUGUCUAACAUGGAGCGACUUUGCUCCAGAUGUCUGGCAAAACACAGGGUUUGCACAUCUACUGGUCCAGCAUUUGAAGGACGAAGCCUGAAAAGGAAAGCGGCUCCCUUCCAUCAGUGGAAUGACGCUUUCUUGCCAACCUGUGAAAGCUGUAAAUCUCACAGGAAGCGGCGUCUGAUGAGAAAAGGCUCCAAUCCUGACGUUCGCGUUGUGUAUCAUGGACGCGACACUGAAGGCGAAUCGUCUGAGAACACCUCCUGCCACAUGACUCAAAAAUGGAGGACCGGCGACGACCCCAGGAAGCCAGCAGACGUCACAAGACCGCUGGCCUCCAAACAGAACCUGGAGAGGUAUCCCACAGCAACGUACCCGAGGCUGAGGGAGAAGAACUGCCUGCGUAACGAGCCGCAUCACGCCGGUGCCCGGGAGAGACCGCACCGCUGUCCCCACGGCAACGCCGUCAGAGAAAUGGACGAGAACUGCGUCCUGUCGCCUCCUUUUCAGGACAAACGGAGGAACAGGGACCAGGUUUAUGUGACGCACAGAUGGCAAAUCGGUGAGCGAACGGCGUUGAUUGAUGUGAAGUAAUGUGAUCAAAGCUCUCAGCUUCCCCGUUAAUGCAGUAAAUCCACCCUUGGGUUUAUCUUUUUGAUGAUUUUUCUAUCAGCAGAAAAGUCAUGCAAACCGGUGAUGCCAAACCCAGAUGGCUCCAGCAAUGAAGCCAGAGCACAGAACAAACACAGGAAAUCACACGCACAAGGUUUGCUUUGACUUUCAUAGUGCUUUUUAAAAUCACAGUAUUCUCAGAUUAUUUGAAUGUUUCAUUUUCUCUCCCCAGGAAUUCUUAGAAAAGACACAAGAUGUUGAUUUGCACAAGAGCACAAUUUAGGAAAAAGCACUUUUAAAGAAAUGUCCACUUUUAAUUUAAGUAUUUUCACUUAAUAUAUUUAUAAUAAAUCACUAUGUUCACUAUUUAUUCA